CAAGGCGGGAGCAAGCGUGCUGGAGCGGAGUGUGGGACCAGGGCUGUGCAGAGGAGCACUGGUACAGAGGAGGCGAGUGUUUACUCUGAUGGAACGUGAGCAAACACGAGACAAGCUGAGGCUGGAUCCUGCACAUUGGUGCUUGCCGUCUUUCUUGCUUCUGAAACCCCUCUCCCAAGUCAAGAGCCCAGGCUAGCCUUCUGGAGACACGUGCCCAGCCAACAGCCAACACUAACAUGGGCUCUGAAUGCAGCCUCUAGGCUGGACCAAGCUAAGGAGUCAAAGUGCUGAACGAUGCAGAGAAGCCACGAGGGAGACCACAUCUGGUCCCCACAGCACAGACUGAGGUCCUGACAGCUUUCCGUUUUCCCUUUCCGGUUCCCGGAUCAGCAAACUAUGACCUGCGAGUCAAAUCCAACCUUCUGCCUCAGAAGCUAAGAAUAGUUUUUGUAAUUUAAGUGGUUGAAAAAAAUCAAAAGAGGAAGAAUAUUUCAUGAACCAGAAAAAUUAUAUGAAAUUAAAACUUCAACGUCCAUCAAUAAAGUUUCAUUGGAACACAG
ensembl:lncRNA